rnacentral:rRNA from 1 species
GUCUACAGCCAUGCCAUCCUGAACAAGCCUGAUCCCAUCUGAUCUUGGAAGCUAAGCAGGGUUGGGCCUGGUUAGUACUUGGAAUGGGAGACCACCUAGGAAGACAGGUGCUGUAGGCA